rnacentral:rRNA from 1 species
AGGGUUUGAUCAUGGCUCAGAACGAACGCUGGCGGCGUGCUUAACACAUGCAAGUCGAGCGCGAACGCUCCCUUCGGGGGGCUAGUAGAGCGGCGCACGGGUGAGUAACACGUGAGCAACCUACCCCUGAGUUCGGAAUAACCACUGGAAAUGGUGGCUAAUGCCGAAUAAGCCCACAACGUCUCAAGACGGUGAGGGAAAAGAGGGCUUCGGCUCUCGUUCAGGGAUGGGCUCGCGGCCCAUUAGCUAGUUGGUGAGGUAACGGCUCACCAAGGCGAUGAUGGGUAGCUGGUCUGAGAGGAUGAUCAGCCACACUGGGACUGAGACACGGCCCAGACUCCUACGGGAGGCAGCAGUGGGGAAUCUUGCGCAAUGGGCGAAAGCCUGACGCAGCAACGCCGCGUGGGUGAUGAAGGCUCUUGGGUCGUAAAGCCCUGUCAGGGGAGAAGAAAUCGUUGGUGGUUAAUACCCAUUAGCGUUGACGGUACCCCCAAAGGAAGCACCGGCUAACUCCGUGCCAGCAGCCGCGGUAAUACGGAGGGUGCAAGCGUUGUUCGGAAUUAUUGGGCGUAAAGCGAGUGUAGGCGGCUUGACAAGUCGGGUGUGAAAGCCCGGGGCUUAACCCCGGAACUGCGCUCGAAACUGUCAUGGCUUGAGUAC